CCGGGCGGGGUCACCUGCGCACCCCGCGGAGCCUCAGGUGGCCGCCAGCGUCGCUCCUGGGGGUGUGGAGAAGUACGGCUCGGGUGGAUGCUCUCUCCAGGAAACAGCAACUCACUUGAGGUGUGUGCUGGGCACAGAUUUAAGCAGUGAAGACUUUAUGAAGAAACUGGACACAAACAGCAGAACAGGAGCCUGCCAGAGUAGUCCAGGACUGAAGUCUACUAAAGCUCUGCUUUGACACUUUGUAAUAAGGCAGUCUGGCCAAGUAGACCCAGUUUGGCAGAAGCAAGUGCUGUAAUACUCAGUUCUCAG